rnacentral:tRNA from 1 species
GCCAGUGUGGUGUAAUGUUUUGAGCACUGGACUACAAUUCUGGAGACCAGGGUUCAAAUACCUGCUUGGCCA